CUAUAUUUCAGGGGAAACAGUAACAAAUAUCCACCACUGGAAUGUUGGGCACACGAGUUUUCAAUACAAAACAUGGAGUGUUACCCUUCACUUCCUUUUUAUGAAACUCUCUCCAUCGAACCAAUUUCAACUAUUAAAGGUGAAAACUGAUGGAGCAAACUCUAAGGGAAGAAGAUGCAGCUAACUGGGUUUACAGGGGUGAAGGAGCUGUUAAUCUUGUUCUUGCUUACAAUGGAUCAAUUAAGUGUAUCGGAUAUGAUGAGACCAAUUAAGUGUAUCGGCUACGUCUUGAAUUAAGUGUAUCGGAUAUGAUGAGACCAAUUAAGUGUUUCCAUGUAUUACGAAUGGUUGCUUGAUUUCCUUAUCGGUGGUAAAGUAUACCUUUCAAGCUAUUAUUUUCAUUAUUUAAUAAGUGGUAUCUUUUUGGUUGUAAAACUCUCCUGAUCGGAGUACUUCUGUGCAGUAAGAUAUAUCAUUAUAUUAUUGCACAAAAGGAUGUUCACUUGUCAAGAUCAUCUCUAGGCUUAUUUUUGUUAAUUAGUUUAACUUGCUAUUAAAAUUCUUGUCCCAUUUUGUCAUGUAGAUUCUAAUUGAGGUUGAUCAUCUACAAGAUAUCCUUGGCCCAUAUAUAUUCAGAUCAAAGGUGUUAAUAAAGAUGCAGUGGCAGUAGUGGGUUCAAUGCUUGAAUUGGAUGGCUCAUAUACAACUAAGAUUUAUCUUGAAAUAAUUUUAAACAGACUACCAACAAUAGAAAGAACUUCUACUGGGAUUAACUCUUAGCAAUCAGCAAGGCUGCUAGAGAUUAUUGAAUUUAUUCAAUCUCA